ACAGUAAUCAAUCCCGUAAUAUUACGACACGAUCUCGAAAGAAACUUAAUUAAUUUAACUAUUAAUUUUCCAAAAAUGUUUCACCAGUUUGACCAACACGAGAACACGAUUGCCUCGCAGCAUAAAAACCGUGCUUGAGAUUGAAGCCGCGGAAAGGAGCGGAAAGGAGCGGAAAGGAGCGGAAAGGAAAGGAAAAUUGUUGGCGCGGAUGCACUUUGAAACUCGUCUCGCGCUCAAGUCAAAAGAGCGUGCGGUCACGGUGCAGCAGCGUUGUCGACAUCGCUGCUUAUUCCUCGUGAUUAACUAGCUAGCGGUAACGGCGGCACUACGGGUGCAACUGCAUGAGACGUACGACGAGCGUGGGGCGUGCGGCGUGCGGCGUGCGGCGUGGGGAGUAGGACUGGUUGCCGAAUGCAGUCGAUCGACGGCCGUUUUAGACACGCGGAGCGUGUGGAUUGCACAAUCGUGUACUCGUGCGACCUUGCCUAGUUUGCAACAGGUGCAUCGCGCGAUCUAAAAUUAUCCUGGCGCGGCAGGUGAGUCCGUUUGACCGGUCGCGCGGCGUCGCGUCGCGUCGCGUCGCGUCGUGACCUUCUGCGCAUAAUCGACAAUCGGAUGUGUCGAAACGGCGCGCGACGUGUCGUCGACCAAAGUUCCACCAGCGAUGACCGCCACGAUCGUGGAAUGGAGAAUCACCAUUCACCAUCCGCGAAAAACGCGAAACAAGAGAUCCGAAAUCGGUCGUUGUCGUUUCGGACGAGAGAGAGAGAGAGAGAGAGAGAGAGAGAGAUGCGGCACGACUUGCGACUUUUGACUUUCGACGGGACGCGUAUUUCGCUACGACCGUUCGUCGAGAGAACCAAGGAGACAAUUGCGAUUUACCAGCGUACACGACGUACACUGUCGGCCUGCUCUAGAGCAAUAGCGAUUACACAAUCGCGACCUUGGACCGUGAGCGCGCGGAAUUUAUCGUGCCAAGUAAAUCUCCGCUGGCGGAAUAGAAAUCAAUCUCGGCAAGUAUAGCGCGCGUGCGCAUAUUGUCGAAUGCUAUCGAUUUACAUUUACGGAAUCGAUCAAACGAUCAAUCUGUCACACAAUUGAAUACAACUGUAGAGUUGGAUCGGCGUCAACAAAGAUUGCUCCCAAAGUCAAGAGUUUCGUCAAAUGUUUAAGAUGAUUCUUAAAAAUCGAAGCGUACUACACAUCUUCCCUGCCAUGUAAUUGCGAUGCAAAAGGAUGAUUUAGAUGUCUCACAAUGCAAUUUUACGUUACGUUACACCCAGGUCAACGAACGAAACGUCCUUCGCGUCGAAAUUGAAAGAAAAAAUUGUGAAGGAAAAAAUUAAUCGCGCAAAAUUAAUAUUACAUAUGUACAAUAUACACAAUUGAGCACAAAUGAGCGCCAUGCGACUCGCGAGCGAUACGCGCAACGACUAAGCGACGUCUAGAGCUGCUUGCGACUAAACCCGCCUAGAGCAGAAGCAUGAGCCAGCCAGUAGUAACUGCAACGGCAGCGCUAGCCGCAAACAGCAAGCCAAGUAGAAACGGUUCGACAUUUCCAGUCGCACCAGACGUUAUACAAUCCGCGUGCGUGCACGCUCGGCUGUCUCAUUGCUCCUUAACGCUGAAGACGCGUGCCAAAAGCUCGAGAUUCCCGUUUCCCGUUUCCCGUCAAAGAUGGAACCUGCUGCGAGAGACUAUGAAUAAUUCGAAUACUCGAUGAAAUGUUUGCGACUACAAUAUAAUAAGGAUUAAGAUAGAUUGAAAAAAAAUACAACAAAAAACGAAGAUGUUGAAGAAGAGAAGCGAAACAAUGGCAACGUACAUGGUGGAAAAUCCGAAGCGACGUUCGCUUCGGCGGUAACGAUGUAAUUGGACCACUUUGUCGUUAAACGAGCUUAACGAUCGAUUCUGCCGUGCUACCAUGAUGUACACCGUGCCUUCUACGGAUCCAGUCAGAUCGGCAUGACGGAUCCUCCAACGGAUCGUCAGCUCGUGACGUCGCUAAUAGCAAUGGCACAUCGCUCUUUCCGAGGAUAUACACACAGGGACAAAUUCAAUGACGAAAAUAAAAAUGUCAGAUCAACUGAUUAUACGAAUCGACAAACGUCAAGUCACACUCUCGAUGUCAAUCUUACCGAACUUUAACGGGAAAAAUCACGGGAAUAUAUUUAUUGCAUCUCGCCAAUUUAUACAUAUUACAAAAGAAAAUGUAAUACGAAUGAAGAAAAGUUUAAAAAAAACAUAAAUAAAAAGACAAACGCCUCUUUUUUUUUUAGCGAAAUUGCAGAUGUUUAAUUGGCUUGUCACCUCGGUGUAAGUAAAACGUUGGUAUUGUAGUCUUAAAACAAGAUUCUGACCAUUAAAUGUGAUUUUAUUAACCCUUUCGUGCCUCUCUCGCUCUCAUGGGACAUUAUGUCCCAAUCCUACAAAAAUAAAGAUAGCUACUUCUUCCGGAGCAUUUUAAAGAUAAUGAGAAAACCAGUACCCUUGUGAGUUUCACCUCUUGAUUUGCAUAUCUCGUCAAAUAUUCGUAAAAUGAGAUAAAAAUGAAAAAUGCAUUUAUUUUCCAUAAGAAUUAAGAUAGCGAGUUCUUUCUGAGUCUGAGAUCUUUAUCUUAAAGAUCAACGUAAGGCUGACAAAAAAUCGCUACUUAAUUACAAAAUGGUUAAACUUUGUUUCGUAAACUUACAUUCACAUCAUUAGGUUUUUAAUAUUGCUGAUGACAUACAAAAAAGCAGUAAAAAUUCCAAAAUAAAAAAGGCUAAAUUUGAUUAGAUUUUGAUCCGCCAUAUUGGAUUCGUCAUUUUGAAUUGUGAUUCAUAAUACAAAUUCAUCAUCAGCGACUUAAAAACCUUUGGUAAGACGUGAAUCAGUUACUAAUUAUUCCUAGCAAAGUCAGACACGAAAAAGUGAAUUAAACCUAUUAACGAUUUAACUAAAUUUUGAAAUUCAUGUUGUUCAACAGUGACACACUUUUCUAUCAAAGAUACGCGAUAUAAUUUUAAAUUUAUACUAAACGUUUUUGUGCGAUUAGAAUUUUUAAAAACGUAGCUAUUUGAAUCUCGAUUCUCCCACGACCAUGAUACUAUAUAGUACAUGUUGGUCGGAAAGUGAAAUUUGCGAUAUCAUCUUAACGCUCUAUCUCACUACCAAUACUAAACCAACACUAACUACAACCAUCUACGACUACUCGAGGGAGCUCGCGCUGCUCGAAACGAAAAGAAAAUACGCGGCGAGACUGCACGGCGAACUAGGCACGACUAACGUGAACGAUCCGGGUAAGUGCCGCGUCGCGCGCGAUUAUGCAAUCGCGUGGCCGAAAAAGCUAUGCCAAGAUGCGUGGCGCUGGGCCACACACCACACACGCCCCAUCAUUCGCUUAACCUCGAAACACGUAUCCAGAUUAUCACGUAGCCAGAGAACGUGCGACGUGCCAGCAGCACCGGGGUUGGUCCCGUUAUUAUCGGGGUUGCGAAAAAGCCCAGGGUUAUUUGGCUCAUCCUAAAUGAAUACUCCGCCGCGCCGAAGGCUCUCGAGGGUGACCUUUAGGUAUUGCAUCGAGCAUCGAGCAUCGAGCAUCGAGCAUCGAGCAUCGAGCAUCGAGCAUCGAGCAUCGAGCUGUUACUUUCCAAAUCACUUCUGUCUCGCGGGACAAAAAAAUUCCUUCAUUGAAUAUCUCAUUAAUUAAUUCAAUAGUACCGUGACAAAUUCUCUUAUCGUGCCAUCUCUGCUGCUUUACUCUGAAAAUCUUACUUUCUCGUAUUUAUUUAUUUAUAUUAUAUUAAUAGUCGAGACAACGCGCGCGACGUGCCUCUAAUAAAUUAGUUAAGUUAAUCAUUUAUUUUUUAACUUAAUAUUAAUCGUUAAUCUACAUUUAUUCAUUUAAUAUAAUAAAAAAUUCAAUGCAAAAAAAAUAUCGUGCUUUCGAUCAAAAUGUUAUAUGGGAACCAUCUCCAAAACUAGCACGAAAAUAUCUUUCCUAGCAGUCAAUUAAUUAAACGAAACGUUAUCGAAUCCGACCAAGGCGAUGCGGCGCGCAGCUCGAAUCGCUUUAUCGCAUACAAGUCACAGAUUAUGCUAGAGUUCAGUUUGCAUGAAAUUAAUUUAGACUGCCAACUAUCGCUAUUCUAUUUUGCAUCAGCAAUGGCAAAUCUAAAUUUCUAUUCGUCAAACGCUAAAUUCAUAGAUACACUUGUUCAUAUUCUCCCGCCUCUUUCUCUUUUACAGAAAUUGUAUAUUAGAAGAUUACGCUCAGUCUUGACAAAAUAUGCUGUAUGUCAUAUGUCACGUUGAUAAAUUAAUAUCGAAAAAAGACAUAUAUCAAAAUCAAAACUAAAAACGAAUAAGCAGCAAAAAAGCACAAUGAGCAGUAAAAAAUAAACAGUGAUUUUUAUCGGUAAUUUAAAGUAACUUCAAGAAUAGAAUCUAAAGUAAGUAGUAGUCAUAUUUUUACCUGACCAUUUUGCGUGAUAAUUUAAAAUUCAAAAUAUUAAUUAAAACAAAUCGAGGUACGUGAUUUAGCUAAUAGAAAAAAAGCAAAAAAAAAAUAAA